UUGCUAUAAAGUUGUGUGGGAUGCGGCAGGUUGCCAAAGUGCCUACUGCUUUAGGUACUACAUGAUCUGACAGGCUUCACGAAGAUUGAUCCUUUGCUCGAAUGAGAUUGAUCAUGCAUCCCUUGAAAUGUGAUUAAUCAGUUUGAAGCGUAGUGAAAUCAUGUAAGAUAUUUUUUUUGCACAGUUGACUUGCCUGUUCCGAAAAGCUUAAGGACAUUUAUGACGGCCUCAGUGGGUGGUCAGGUUGGCAUAGCAAGGGAAGACUACGUAGUGGCCGUAUGUUCCGGCAGCCACACACCGGCAGCGAGCACAACAUGUCCCACAAGCUCUUUCAUAUAAAUGCACCCAUCUAUUCAUUCUAUCCAGAGCAACGAGUUUUACCCAUAGAGAGUGAUACGGAUCGCACUGAUGGAUGGACAGGAAGAUGUUACCUAUAAGUUCGUGAUACGACAAUGGAAUUGAUGCGGUGCACGUAUCCGAUUCAGUCACCUGAGAAAGUUUCGAAGCCUGAGUCCAAAUUGGAGAAGGAUUCAAUACCCGAGUAAGAACUCUCAAUCCUGCAAGAUUUGACCGACGAAAGAAACAACCAGAUUAAGUUUUCAUUUUGGGGCAAAAGAACUUGACUCUUACCCGAGAGGACGGCCAGAGUAUGGUGCAUCGUAACGAUGGCAGAAAAUAGCAGGAGCGUUAUGCAGGAGCCAAAGAUCUCCAUAACUCGAAACCUUCGCGAUAAAGAUGCUUUAGGCACACACACCCUGAUUGCUUUGUCUUAGAAUUCACAAAAGUCUGGAAUUUGUAUUGUAUGUAUGAAGAGAGAUGUGCCAAGUCCAAGGGUCACAUGAUUUGCGGAUGGUUUGACUUCAAGGCUUUCGCUGGUUUGCUAAGUUUGAAUGGAAUGGAAUGUUAGAUUAAA